rnacentral:rRNA from 1 species
CCUACGGGUGACAGCAGUGAGGAAUAUUGGUCAAUGGACGCAAGUCUGAACCAGCCAUGCCGCGUGCAGGAAGACGGCUCUAUGAGUUGUAAACUGCUUUUGUACGAGGGUAAACGCAGAUACGUGUAUAUUUCUGAAAGUAUCGUACGAAUACGGAUCGGCUAACUCCGUGCCAGCAGCCGCGGUAAUACGGAGGAGUCAAGCGUUAUCCGGAUUUAUUGGGUUUAAAGGGUGCGUAGGCGGUCGGUUAAGUUAGUGGUUAAAUCCCGAGGGUCAACCUCGGAAUUGCCUCUGAUACUGGUCGGCUAGAGAGUAGUUGCGGUAGGCGGAAUGUAUGGUGUAGCGGUGAAAUGCUUAGAGAUCAUACAGAACACCGAUUGCGAAGGCAGCUUACCAAGCUACUUCUGACGUUGAGGCACGAAAGCGUGGGGAGCAAACAGGAUUAGAUACCCUGGUAGUC